rnacentral:misc_RNA from 1 species
GAUGAAGAACGUAGCGAAAUGCGAUAAGUAAUGCGAAUUGCAGAAUUUCCGUGAGUCAUCGAAUCUUUGAACGCACAUUGCGCCCCCUGGUAUUCCGGGGGGCAUGCCUGUCCGAGCGUCAUUGCUGCCCUCAAGCACGGCUUGUGUGUUGGGCCCCGUCCCCUCCCCCGGGGACGGGCCCGAAAGGCAGCGGCGGCACCGCGUCCGAUCCUCGAGCGUAUGGGGCUUUGUCACCCGCUCUGUAGGCCCGGCCGGCGCCAGCCGACACCCAACUUUUAUUUCUAAGGUUGACCUCGGAUCAGGUAGGGAUACCCGCUGAACUUAAGCAUAUCAAUAAGCGGAGGA